rnacentral:rRNA from 1 species
AUUGAACGCUGGCGGCAGGCCUAACACAUGCAAGUCGGACGGUAGCACAGAGAGCUUGCUCUCGGGUGACGAGUGGCGGACGGGUGAGUAAUGUCUGGGGAUCUGCCCGAUAGAGAGGGAUAGCCACUGGAAACGGUGGCUAAUACCGCAUAACGUCGCAAGACCAAAGAGGGGGACCUUCGGGCCUCUCACUAUCGGAUGAACCCAGAUGGGAUUAGCUAGUAGGCGGGGUAACGGCCCACCUAGGCGACGAUCCCUAGCUGGUCUGAGAGGAUGACCAGCCACACUGGAACUGAGACACGGUCCAGACUCCUACGGGAGGCAGCAGUGGGGAAUAUUGCACAAUGGGCGCAAGCCUGAUGCAGCCAUGCCGCGUGUAUGAAGAAGGCCUUCGGGUUGUAAAGUACUUUCAGCGGGGAGGAAGGCGAUGUGGUUAAUAACCGCAUUGAUUGACGUUACCCGCAGAAGAAGCACCGGCUAACUCCGUGCCAGCCGCCGCUGUAA